rnacentral:rRNA from 1 species
GACGAACGCUGUUGGCGUGCCUAACACAUGCAAGUCGAGCGAAGUGAGUACUACGGUACGAACUUAGCGGCGGACGGGUGAGUAACGCGUGGACAAUCUACCCUGUAGACUGGGAUAACACCUCGAAAGGGGUGCUAAUACCGGAUAAUGUCGAGAAGCGGCAUCGCUUUUCGAAGAAAGGAGAGAAUCCGCUAUAGGAGGAGUCCGCGUCCCAUUAGCUAGUUGGUGAGGGUAACGGCCCACCAAGGCGACGAGGGGUAGCCGGCCUGAGAGGGUGAACGGCCACACUGGAACUGAGACACGGUCCAGACUCCUACGGGAGGCAGCAGUGGGGAAUAUUGUGCAAUGGGGGAAACCCUGACACAGCAACGCCGCGUGAGCGAAGAAGGCCUUCGGGUUGUAAAGCUCAAUAGUAUGGGAAGAUAAUGACGGUACCAUACGAAAGCCCCGGCUAACUACGUGCCAGCCGCCGCGGUAAGAC